rnacentral:rRNA from 1 species
GAUGAACGCUGACAGAAUGCUUAACACAUGCAAGUCUUUGGCGAAGCUGUGCUCGCACAGCCUAGCCAAGGCGGACGGGUGAGUAACGCGUAAGGAACUUGCCCUGCAGUCAGGGAUAACAGACGGAAACGACUGAUAAGACCUGGUAAAGUCAGGCGGACUCAUGUCCAGCCUGAUGAAAAGAGAUGCUGCAGGAGAGCCUUGCGUCCUAUUAGCUUGUUGGUGGGGUAACGGCCCACCAAGGCGAUGAUAGGUAGCCGGCCUGAGAGGGUGGACGGCCACAAGGGGACUGAGAUACGGCCCUUACUCCUACGGGAGGCAGCAGUGGGGAAUAUUGGACAAUGGGGGCAACCCUGAUCCAGCAAUUCUGCGUGCACGAUGAAGGUUUUCGGAGUGUAAAGUGCUUUCAGCAGGGAAGAAAAAAAUGACGGUACCUGCAGAAGAAGCGACGGCUAAAUACGUG